GGAUGUGAGGGCGAUCUGGCUGCGACAUCUGUCUCCCCACUGAUCGCCAAGGUUGAUUCGGCUGAUGUGGCUGUCUAGGCGGAUGUCCCCUUCCUCCCUCACUGCUCCAAAUGUGUCCCUCCCGAAGCUGUGCGCUCGGUCGAAGAGGACAACCAUCCCCGCUAGAGGAGGACUGGUCUUGGGUCAAUCGUAUAUGAGUAGCUGCGCUCUCCUGCUAGAACCUCCAAACAAGCUCUCAAGGAAAUGGAGCAACUGGGACAUAAACUGGU
rnacentral:snRNA from 1 species